UGGGUUGUGGCUCAGUGGUAGAGCGCUUGCCUAGUCUAGCAUGCAUGAGGGACUGGGUUCAUUCCCCAGCACCAUAU
rnacentral:tRNA from 2 species